CACGUAGGGCGCGAGCGUUGUCCAGAAUUAUUGGGCGUAAAGAGCUCGUAGGCGGCCUGUUGCGUCCGCUGUGAAAGCCCGGGGCUUAACCCCGGGUCGGCAGUGGAUACGGGCAGGCUAGAGGUAGGUAGGGGAGAAUGGAAUUCCCGGUGUAGCGGUGAAAUGCGCAGAUAUCGGGAGGAACACCGGUGGCGAAGGCGGUUCUCUGGGCCUUACCUGACGCUGAGGAGCGAAAGCGUGGGGAGCGAACAGG
rnacentral:rRNA from 1 species